rnacentral:rRNA from 1 species
UACGUAGGAUGCAAGCGUUGUCCGGAUUUACUGGGCGUAAAGCGCGCGCAGGCGGCACAUUAAGUAAGGUGUGAAAUAUCCCGGCUCAACCGGGAGGGUGCACUUUAGACUGAUGAGCUUGAGGUCGGUAGAGGGGGGUGGAAUUGCUGGUGUAGCGGUGAAAUGCGUAGAGAUCAGCAGGAACACCCGUGGCGAAAGCGGCUCACUGGACCAUAACUGACGCUGAUGCACGAAAGCUAGGGGAGCAAACAGG